CGGCUGUUAACAUAAAGAGACUGAUUUGGAACAGGAUGAGGAACCCCAGGAGAAGCCUUGGCAAUAAUAUUCCGAUACUGCCCAUCCGAAUCAGUCACAGCAGACUGGUCAGACCUGAUUUAACUCUGAUGAAUAUUUCCUUCUUAUCCUUAAAUCUGAAAAAUGCUGACACAACCCUCUGAGGACUUUACUAGAGGAGGAAUGUCAGAACUAAUCUGCAGAUCCUGGCACACUGUCUGGAAAACAGGAAGUAUCCAGUAAAAGAUUCUAAAAAUGCUUCUUGGCAGUCUCCUACCUUGUAUUGUUCCAGAUGAGACAUCUGCUGUUGUCUUUGACUGCUUUAUUCAGACUGCUUUUAAGUUUUAACUUUUAUCUUUGGCUUUGAAAAUUUUUAUUAUGAUGUGUCUUACUGAAGUUUUCUUCAUGUUUUUCUCAUGCUUGGGAUUUGUUGAGCUUCUUGAAUCUGCCCGUGUGUAGAGUCUGUCGAAUCUGGAAAUUUGCAGCCAUUGUGUCAUAAAAUACUUUCCCUUCCUCUUUCAAGAAUAUCAAUCACACAUAGCCAUUUGACAUUGUCCCAUAGCUCAUGGAUGCUCUGUUUAUUUUGGCUUAGUUUAUUUUUUCUCUGUGUGUUUCAUUUCAGAUAGUUUUUAUUGUUCUAUCUUCAACAUCUCUAGCCUUUUCUUCAAACGUGUUUAUUUUUUUGUUAAUCUGUUAAUCCUAUCCAGUAUAUUUUUCAUAUUAGACAUUGCAUUCCUUUUUCAUAUAUUCCAUGGCUCUAUUUAUCAUGCUCAUAAUUUAUCUUCAUGUACAUUUAGAAUGUAAUAACAUUUUAUUGUCCUUGCUAUUAAUUCUAUCAUAUCUGUAACUCUGAGGUCUGUUUCUAUUAUUUUUUUUUUUACUACUUAAUGGGUCACAAUUUCUUGCUUUUUAAAAUACCUAGUAAUGUUUCAUUGGAAUAUUAGACAUUAUACAUUUUACCUGGUUACAUGAUAAAUGUCUUUCUGUUUCUUCAGAUAUUCUUGAAUGUUGUGCUAGGAGAGAGGCACAUUACUUGGAAGCAGUGUGAUCCUUUUUGGUUCUUUCCAUAGCCUCAGGUAGUUUCCUUAGAUGUCUGUGCCAAUCAACAUUCAACUGCAGACUUAAGGAAGACUCUGCAAAUCUCAUGGUCUGCCCCUUUGUACAGAUGUUUUCUCGCCAGUAUUCUGUGAUAUGAAUUCUAGCUGCCUUAGACUUACCAGUCACCUACUUUUGCCUCCUAAACUCAGAGAUACCUUCAUGCUUCACCUGGAUUACCUCUGAAAAGUAGCUCAAAAGUAUCUUCAGGCUAUAAUCCAGCAUAAUCACAGUGUUCACUUCAUUUGUCUCUCCUCUCUAAAGGAACACUGUUCUGAUAACCAAUAUAUGAAAAUGUGUUUUAACUAACUUCAUUUCAUUUUGUAGUUGUUUCAGUCAGAUAGGAAAAUAUAGACUCUAUUACUCUAUCCUGGCUUAAAAUGAAAAUUCCCCAGAGAUGUUCCAAUUAUUUGAAGAAAUUUUUGUUGUCUUUUUGCAAGCCUUCCUAUGGUUUGAAUACUUGUGUCCCUCCAAAAUUCAUGCUGAAAUGUAAUCUCCAAUGCAACAUUAUUAAGAAAUGAGUCCUUAGGAGAUGAUUAGGCCAGGAGGGCUUUGUCCUCCUGGAUUGGAUUAGUACCUGAAGAGAAUUAGCUAGGCCCUUUUGUCUUUCUGUCCCUUCUGCCAUGCAAGUACACAGUGGCCCUCACUGGACACUGAACCUGCUAGUACCUUUAUCUUGGAUGUUCAGCCUCCAGAAUUGUGAAAAAUAAAUUUCUGUUUAUAUAAAUUACCCUGGAUUCUGAUAUUUUGUUAUUGCAGCACAAAUGAACUAAUACAUAAAUUGGUACCAAGAAGUUAGGUAUUUCUAUAAUAAACACCUAGAAAAAUGAAAGCAGCUUUGGAACUGGGUGAUAGCUACAGGUUGAACCAUAAAGUGCUAUCUUGGGGAGAGCUCAGAAGAAAAGGAAAGCUGUAAAGAAAGCCAGAGAUUAAGUGGCUGUGAUUAGAACAUUGGUGAAAAUGUGAAGACAAUUCUGAUAAAGUCUCAGGUGAAAAUGAGAAACAAAGUACAGUAGUCUUUUAUCUGUAGAUUUUUUUCUGCAGUUUCAUUUACCCAUGGUUAACUUUGGUUUGGAAAUAUUAAAUGGAAAAUUCCCUUAAAAAAACUAUAAGUUUUAAAUUGGUUACCAUUGUGAGUAGCAUAAUAAAAUCUCUUGCCAUCCUGCUCCAUGUUCCAUCCUACCCUGGAUGGAAUCAUCACUUUCUACACAGUAUCCACACUACCUUUGCUACCUGCCUGUUAGUAACUUAGUCACUCUGAUUUGUCUCAAAAAUUAUUCACAGGCCUCAAGAUUUAAAGUUGUUUUCCUUGUGGGGUUUUAGACUUCC
rnacentral:lncRNA from 1 species